rnacentral:rRNA from 1 species
UACGUAGGUGGCAAGCGUUGUCCGGAAUUAUUGGGCGUAAAGCGCGCGCAGGCGGUCCUUUAAGUCUGAUGUGAAAGCCCACGGCUCAACCGUGGAGGGUCAUUGGAAACUGGGGGGACUUGAGUGCAGAAGAGGAAAGCGGAAUUCCACGUGUAGCGGUGAAAUGCGUAGAGAUGUGGAGGAACACCAGUGGCGAAGGCGCUUUCUGGUCUGUAACUGACGCUGAGGCGCGAAAAGCGUGGGGGAGCAAACAGG